rnacentral:rRNA from 1 species
AUUGAACGCUGGCGGCAUGCCUUACACAUGCAAGUCGAACGGCAGCACGGGUGCUUGCACCUGGUGGCGAGUGGCGAACGGGUGAGUAAUACAUCGGGACAUGUCCUGUAGUGGGGGAUAGCACGGCGAAAGCCGGAUUAAUACCGCAUACGAUCUACGGAUGAAAGCGGGGGACCUUCGGGACUCGCGCUAUAGGGUUGGCCGAUGGCUGAUUAGCUAGUUGGUGGGGUAAAGGCCUACCAAGGCGACGAUCAGUAGCUGGUCUGAGAGGACGACCAGCCACACUGGGUCUGAGACACGGCCCAGACUCCUACGGGAGGCAGCAGUGGGGAAUUUUGGACAAUGGGCGAAAGCCUGAUCCAGCAAUGCCGCGUGUGUGAAGAAGGCCUUCGGGUUGUAAAGCACUUUUGUCCGGAAAGAAAUCCUUGGCCCUAAUACGGUCGGGGGAUGACGGUACCGGAAGAAUAAGCACCGGCUAACUACGUG